rnacentral:rRNA from 1 species
UACGUAGGCAGCAAGCGUUGUCCGGAUUCAUUGGGCGUAAAGCGCGUGCAGGCGGCCUGGUAAGUCGGCCGUGAAAGCGCCAGGCUUAACCUGGCGAGGUCGGGCGAGACUGCUAGGCUGGAGGCCGGUAGAGGGCGGUGGAAUUCCGGGUGUAGUGGUGGAAUGCGUAGAGAUCCGGAGGAACACCAGUGGCGAAGGCGGCCGCCUGGGCCGGACCUGACGCUGAGACGCGAAAGCGUGGGGAGCGAUCCGG